AGAGUUUGAUCCUGGCUCAAAAUGAACGUUGGCGGCGUGGAUUAGGCAUGCAAGUCGAACGAAUCCCGCAGCAAUGCGGGGGAAGUGGCGAAAGGGGCAGUAAGGCGUGGACAACCUGCCCCGGGCUCCGGGAUAGCCUUCCUAACGGAUGGGUAAUACCGGGUACGCUCUCCCGAUGGCAUCAUCGGGCGAGGAUAGCUCCGGCGGCCCGGGUGGGGUUCACGUGAUAUUAGCUAGUUGGCGGGGUGACGGCCCACCAAGGCCAAAAUGUCUAGCGGGUGUGAGAGCACGACCCGCGCCACUGGCACUGGGACACUGGCCAGACUCCUACGGGAGGCUGCAGUCGAGGAUCUUCGGCAAUGGGCGCAAGCCUGACCGAGCGACGCCGCGUGAGCGAUGAAGGCCUUCGGGUCGUAAAGCUCUGUCGUGGGGGAGAAAAGCCGCAAGGCUUGAUCGACCCCAGGAGGAAGCACGGGCUAAGUUCGUGCCAGCAGCCGCGGUAAGACGAACCGUGCGAACGUUAUUCGGAAUCACUGGGCUUAAAGGGCGCGUAGGCGGGUCCGGCAGUCAGGGGUGAAAUCCCGCGGCCCAACCGCGGAAGUGCCUCUGAUACUCCGGACCUCGAGGGGGGUAGGGGCGUGCGGAACUCAGGGUGGAGCGGUGAAAUGCGUAGAUAUCCUGAGGAACACCGGUGGCGAGAGCGGCGCGCUGGAUCCCUUUCUGACGCUGAUGCGCGAAAGCCAGGGGAGCGAACGGGAUUAGAUACCCCGGUAGUCCUGGCCCCUA
rnacentral:rRNA from 1 species